rnacentral:rRNA from 1 species
GGCCUAUGGGGCGCAGCAGGCGAGAAAACUUUGCAAUGUGCGAAAGCACGACAAGGUUAAUCCGAGUGGUUUCUGCUAAAGGAACCUUUUGA